rnacentral:rRNA from 1 species
UACCAGCACCCCGAGUGGUCGGUACGAUUAUUGGGCCUAAAGCAUCCGUAGCCGGUUCUGCAAGUCCCCCGUUAAAUCCAGCUGCUCAACAGAUGGGCCGCGGAGGAUACUAUAGAGCUAGGAGGCGGGAGAGGCAAGCGGUACUCGAUGGGUAGGGGUAAAAUCCGUUGAUCCAUUGAAGACCACCAGUGGCGAAGGCGGCUUGCCAGAACGCGCUCGACGGUGAGGGAUGAAAGCUGGGGGAGCAAACCGG